rnacentral:tRNA from 1 species
AAUAAAAAAUACAGCCUUAACUUAAUUGGUAGAGUCUUAGCCUUCUAAGCUACAUUAUCUAGGUUCGAGUCCUAGAGGUUGUA